rnacentral:misc_RNA from 1 species
UGGGGGUAAGCUGUAAACUUUUAAUAAUUACAGAACACACGUGAAUUCAGUCGCGUCUCGACAACAAAAACAUCGUUGUUUGUUUUCACUUUCGGUAAAAAACUAGUUACCCUUAAAAAACGAUGUGAUGUUUCUGCCGUACAAAAUUUUGAUUGCCUAUAUGGAAAACGGCAAAGAUAAAAUGUACGAAGUAAGAAAUGUGUAUUUCCGAAUUGGAAUAGUUCUAGGGAUGCUUGCUGCAGUGAUAACCAUAGUAUACUUUACUCCUAUGCCAGAGGAAUAUUUUCUAAGCUGUGAUAGACCUUGCCAUCAUUUAGACUGGCCAAUGAUAUGCCGCGUCAAGAUGAAAAUUGAAAUACUUCAGUAUCAAACUGUUUUUUGCGAAAAUUGUUCAUCAAAUUCAACAUCUUGCCGAUCGAUCUGUUUGAGAAAUAGACUCCAUUCUACAAUUACAACAAAUAAUCAAAUACCUGGACCGGCUCUUCACGUUUGUCAAAAUGAUAUUAUUGUAGUUGAUGUUUUGAAUGCAAUUCCCGGCAAAAGUUUGACACUGCAUUGGAGAGGUCAACCCCAAAACGAAAUGCCCCUCAUGGACGGUGUGCCCAUGAUAACCCAGUGUUCGAUACCGGGUUACACGACUUUUCAGUACAAAUUUAGAGUAACAUCUCCUGGGACGCACAUAUGGCACGCCCAUUCCGGUAGUGAUAUUGCUGAUGGUGUUUUUGGUGCACUUGUAGUUAGACAACCUCACAAAUUUGACUUCCACAAAAAAUUCUAUGAUUACGAUUUAAAAGAGCACACGUUAGUUAUUUCCGAAGGAGGAGAUGAAAAUUCUAUAAAAAAUCAUUAUUCCCCAAGAGCCCUAAUGAUAAACGGCGCAUCCUCCAACUCUGGAAAAGAAACCCAUACUUUUACGGUAAAACAGGGUAAAAGGUACAGGUUCAGAGUUGCAUACGUAGGAGGAUUAUUUAACUGUCCAGUACAAAUAUCUUUAGAUAAUCAUAUCCUCAAGAUUGUAUCGUUGGAUGGUAAUCCUGUGUUACCCUUCGAAGCUUCGUCCAUUGAUUUGAUGAAGGGCGAAAGGGUGGAUUUUAUUGUUAAUGCGAAAGUGAAUGAGGGUAGCCACCUCUUGAGAAUUACUUCGUUGCUGUGCUAUGAAAGUGUACGAGAGGUUAAUGCUCUGGUGAAAUAUAAUAAUGGGGAAGCGACAGGUAACGAAAAUAAGAAACUUAGUAAUCCUUCCUACAUUCGCCCCUCGGCAACGAUUUCGGCUCAAGAACAGAGAAAUUUUUCCACGAGACCAUGCGAAAGCAAAGUAGGUCACCUAUGCGUCGAGACUGCAAAAUCAGCCAGUAAAAUGCCUGCGCAACUCAAGACAGAAAGAGUCGACAGGAAAAUUUAUUUAGCGAUAAACAGGAACACCGAUGCCGGAGGAAACCAAAAGCAAUUACUUUCGACCUCGCGGGUUUAUAGCAUGAACAAUAUCACGUUCGUUUACCCCUCGUCACCCCUGUUAAGUCAAUACGAAGAUAUCCCAGGAAACCUUAAGUGUAAUUUGUAUCGUAAGCCCAGCUCCUGUCUAAACGACACUACAUGUCCGUGUGUGCACAUCGAGGAAAUACCAACCGGAUCGUCUGUGGAAGUUACAAUAAUAGACCAGGUUGGAGAUUCAAAGGAGAACGUAUUCCAUUUGCAUGGAUAUCACUUUUAUGUGGUAGGGUCUACCAACCUGGAAAAGUCGAUGGAGCUUGAAAAUAUUAAAGAAUUAGACUCAAAGGGGAAAUUAUUCAAAAGGAAUCUGGAAAGUCCAGUAUUAAAGGAUACAAUACGAAUACCAAAAUAUGGAGCAGUAUCAUUUAGAUUUAUAGCUGAUAAUCCAGGUGGAGGGCCAAUUUUUGUGAGGGGGUUCGUUGAAAGUGUGACUUAGCAUGAUGAGCAGGGAAGGAGGGGUUCGAAAAGAUGAAAUUUUGACUGACGUAUUUUAUGGACAACCCCUUGGUUUUUGGAUUUUACGUGAUGAAAUGUCCUUAGAAUGGACCAGAGGAAUGGAUGUAGUUUUUCAUAUCGGCUCCUGCUGUGAUAUGCC